rnacentral:rRNA from 1 species
GACGAACGCUGGCGGCGUGCUUAACACAUGCAAGUCGAGCGAUGAAGUUCCUUCGGGAACGGAUUAGCGGCGGACGGGUGAGUAACACGUGGGUAACCUGCCUCAUAGAGGGGAAUAGCCUUCCGAAAGGAAGAUUAAUACCGCAUAAGAUUGUAGUACCGCAUGGUACAGCAAUUAAAGGAGUAAUCCGCUAUGAGAUGGACCCGCGUCGCAUUAGCUAGUUGGUGAGGUAACGGCUCACCAAGGCGACGAUGCGUAGCCGACCUGAGAGGGUGAUCGGCCACAUUGGGACUGAGACACGGCCCAGACUCCUACGGGAGGCAGCAGUGGGGAAUAUUGCACAAUGGGGGAAACCCUGAUGCAGCAACGCCGCGUGAGUGAUGACGGUCUUCGGAUUGUAAAGCUCUGUCUUCAGGGACGAUAAUGACGGUACCUGAGGAGGAAGCCACGGCUAACUACGUGCCAGCCGCCGCGGUAAGAC